AUUGAACGCUGGCGGCAGGCCUAACACAUGCAAGUCGAGCGGAGUGGCGGACGGGUGAGUAAUGUCUAGGAAUCUGCCUGGUAGUGGGGGAUAACGUCCCGAAACGGGCGCUAAUACCGCACACUAUCAGAUCAGCCUAAGCCGGAUUAGCUAGUUGGUGGGGUAAGGGCCGACCAAGGCGACGAUCCGUAACUGGUCUGAGAGGAUGAUCAGUCACACUGGGACUGAGACACGGCCCAGACUCCGUCGGGAGGCAGCAUUGGGGUAUAUUGGACAAUGGGCGAAAGCCUGAUCCAGCCAUGCCGCGUGUGUGAAGAAGGCCUUCGGGUUGUAAAGCACUUUAAGCAGGGAGGCGUUACCAGCAGAAUAAGCACCGGCUAACUACGUGCCAGCAGCCGCGGUAAUAC
rnacentral:rRNA from 1 species